GACUCUGUUGGAGAUGCUUAUCGGUUCUCCCGUCGCCGUUGCUCCGCGAGGCCCCGUCGCCGUUGCUCCACGAGGCCCUCCCAUCGCCGUCGCUCAGGUCAGUCCUUGCCGUCGCCCGCCAGAAUCCUGCGACCUGACGCGCCGGAACCCCUCGCCUGCCUUCUACUCGGCAGGAUGUGGCGGACCUGACCCGCCGGAACUCCCCCUGCCUUCCGCUCCCCAGGAAGCGGCGGAUCGUGGCAUCCAGCUCCCACUCCCGAUCCAUCUCCGGUUGAUCGGUGUUGGACCUGCUGCAGCAAGGCACUGAUUCUCUACACCUUCUACUCCAACUGCUUCCUGUAGUUAAGAACGGGAAAGGCAGAUUUCUCGGAUGACUCGUCAUCACUGAUGUCCUCCAGCGCAGCGAGUCAGGUGACUAUCUAGGAGUGAAGGCUUGCUCAAGAAAUGGACACACCCAAUAGCAUAUCAAAUUCUACGUCUAACAUAGGUGCUUCUGCUUUGUGGCAUUGAGGCAACACAAGGACAUUGAGUCAAAUCAUGAAUUAUAAGAUUUUUUUUGGCAAAGAGUCUUUCUCUUUUGCCGAUAAGAAUUCCGGUGGCUGAGUUUUGGGAAAUUGAUUUGCCAAGUCCAGUCAAGAGCAUCUAGGCGGGAAUGUAUUCAGCACAUUUUUUCUUCUGUGCCAUCAUUGUCUUCAAACGGCAAAAAUCUAGUCUUUUUUUGCCAUUAGGCAGAUGUGUGUUACUGUAAAAAUUUCGAUUGCAAUUAGUCAAAAUACCAAUGUGUCAGAUUAAAGUAUGAAAUAAAGAAGACGUGGCUUACGUCACGUAAGAAAGCCAUUGAGAUCACAAAA